rnacentral:sRNA from 1 species
UUCUAGCCCUGAUUGAAACGGCAUCCUUUUUGCUUUUUCUGCAAAAAGAUAUAGUGAAAAGCAGGAAAUAGC